AGGUUCGUCAUGCUGACGAUGAAAAGGGAAUAGGGUGGAAAUCCCUGACAGUCCCGCUGCGGUGAGUCCAUGCAAUCUGCGUAGCAUAUUUACCACUGAGUGCAAAGGCGUCCUGAAAAGCGCUUUUGAACAAUACUUGGGAAGGUUUUGUUGCGGAGAGGAUAAGUCCGAAGACCUGCCUUUGCUGA
rnacentral:ncRNA from 1 species